UACAGAGGGUGCGAGCGUUGUUCGGAAUUAUUGGGCGUAAAGGGCGCGUAGGUGGUUUGUUACGUCUGCUGUGAAAACCUAGGGCUUAACCCUGGGCUUGCAGUGGAUACGGGCAGACUAGAGGUAGGUAGGGGAGAAUGGAAUUCCUGGUGUAGCGGUGAAAUGCGCAGAUAUCAGGAGGAACACCGGUGGCGAAGGCGGUUCUCUGGGCCUUACCUGACACUGAGGAGCGAAAGCGUGGGGAGCGAACAGG
rnacentral:rRNA from 1 species